UACGAAGGGGGGCUAGCGUUGCUCGGAAUGACUGGGCGUAAAGGGCGCGUAGGCGGUUUGGUUCGUUAGGCGUGAAAUUCCUGGGCUUAACCUGGGGGCUGCGCUUAAUACAACCAGGCUUGAGUGUGAAAGAGGGUCGUGGAAUUCCCAGUGUAGAGGUGAAAUUCGUAGAUAUUGGGAAGAACACCGGGUGGCGAAGGCGGCGACCUGGUUCA
rnacentral:rRNA from 1 species